rnacentral:tRNA from 1 species
CGCGGAGUAGAGCAGUGGUAGCUUGCCAGAGUCAUGAUCUGGAGGCCGGUGGGUUCGAUUCCCCCUUCCGCAACCA